rnacentral:rRNA from 1 species
UACGAAGGGGGCUAGCGUUGUUCGGAUUUACUGGGCGUAAAGCGCACGUAGGCGGUUCGUUAAGUCGGGGGUGAAAUCCUGGAGCUCAACUCCAGAACUGCCUUCGAUACUGGCGAUCUAGAGUCCGGAAGAGGUGAGUGGAACUCCUAGUGUAGAGGUGGAAUUCGUAGAUAUGAGGAAGAACACCAGUGGCGAAGGCGGCUCACUGGUCCGGUACUGACGCUGAGGUGCGAAAGCGUGGGGAGCAAACAGG